rnacentral:rRNA from 1 species
AUUGAACGCUAGCGGCAUGCCUUACACAUGCAAGUCGAACGGAGUGGCGAACGGGCGAGUAAUGUAUCGGUACGUGCCCAGUAGCGGGGGAUAACUACGCGAAAGCGUCGCUAAUACCGCACACUAUUGGAGCGGCCGAUAUCGGUUUAGCUAGCUGGUGGGGUAACGGCUCACCAAGGCGACGAUCCGUAGCUGGUUUGACAGGACGACCAGCCACACUGGGACUGAGACACGGCCCAGACUCCUACGGGAGGCAGCAGUGGGGAACUUUGGACAAGGGGGGAAACCCUGAUCCAGCCAUCCCGCGUGUGCGAUGAAGGCCUUCGGGUUGUAAAGCACUUUUGGCAGGAAAGCGGUACCUGCAGAAGAAGCACCGGCUAACUACGUGCCAGCCGCGGCGGUAAUUC